UACGUAGGGUGCAAGCGUUGUCCGGAAUUAUUGGGCGUAAAGAGCUCGUAGGCGGUCUGUCGCGUCUGCUGUGAAAACUCAGGGCUUAACCCUGAGCUUGCAGUGGGUACGGGCAGACUAGAGUGCGGUAGGGGAGACUGGAAUUCCUGGUGUAGCGGUGAAAUGCGCAGAUAUCAGGAGGAACACCGGUGGCGAAGGCGGGUCUCUGGGCAGUAACUGACGCUGGAGGAGCGAAAGCCGUGGGUAGCAAACAGG
rnacentral:rRNA from 1 species